rnacentral:snRNA from 2 species
GGAUCCGAAGGUGAUUUGGCUGCACUAUCUGCCACCUCUUUGUUCACCAGAGUUGAAACUGCUGAUCUGGUUGCCUAGACUGGUGUUUCCUUCCUCCCUCCUCGCACCCCUCCAGAACCUGAGCACUCGGUCAAGAGGAUGACCUUCCCUUAUAGAAAAGAACCAGUCUUCUGUAAAGAAUAGAAGAGUAGCUGCACUUACCUGCUAGAAAUUCCAGACAAUUUCUCAAGAUCCUUUUUCCUUUUACUUUUUUCUUUCCUUUUUUUUUUUUUUUUUUUUUUUUUUUGGAGACAGGGUCUCACU